GUGUUAUGAAAUAUCUAAAAGCACACAACGUGUUCGUUUCAUUUCUGAGGAGGAAGGAGAAAGGCUAGGGUCCAAUUGAAAGUUAAGCAAAAGGUUUAAUAAACAACAUGUUGAAAACGACAUGACAAAAACAAAUGUUACACUGCCAGCAGU